UGUGGUGGCGAUAGCGCAGAGGAUACACCUGUACCCAUGCCGAACACAGAAGUUAAGCUCUGUAGCGCCAAAAGUAGUUGGGGGAUCGCUCCCUGCGAGGAUAGGACGUCGCCAUGC
rnacentral:rRNA from 2 species